GAUUUUAUCAGUCAGGCUUCUGGCUAUAUUCCAGGACUUACCUGGUCCUGGGUAUAACCAAAGCCCGACUGUAUGCUACUAAAGACUAGGAAGAGUUU
ensembl:miRNA predicted gene, 23917